AAUAAGAGGUCCCGCCUGCCCUGUGACUAUAUGUUUAACGGCCGCGGUAUUUUGACCGUGCGAAGGUAGCGCAAUCACUUGUCUUUUAAAUGGAGACCUGUAUGAAUGGCAUAACGAGGGCUCAACUGUCUCCUUUUUCAAGUCAGUGAAAUUGAUCUCCCCGUGCAGAAGCGGGGAUACUUACAUAAGACGAGAAGACCCUAUGGAGCUUCAGACACCAAGGCAGAUUAUGUUAAUAAAUCCCACAUAAGGGGACAAACAGGAUAAGCCCUGCCCUAAUGUCUUUGGUUGGGGCGACCGCGGGGAAAUAAAUAACCCCCAUGUGGAACGGGAUUAUUGAUCCUACAACUAAGAGCCCCCGCUCUAAGUACCAGAAUUUCUGACCAAAAAGAUCCGGCAAUGCCGAUCAACGGACCGAGUUACCCUAGGGAUAACAGCGCAAUCCCCUUUUAGAGUCCAUAUCGACAAGGGGGUUUACGACCUCGAUGUUGGAUCAGGACAUCCUAAUGGUGCAGCCGCUAUUAAGGGUUCGUUUGUUCAACGAUUAAAGUCCU
rnacentral:rRNA from 1 species